UCCGCGACUUCCAGAGAGUUGCUUAAGAGUAGGAGUGAUAGAUGACAGGCUCAAGCUAACAAGUAAGAGUAAAGGUAAGUAGCUGAAGAACGAAAAGCACUAUUUGGAGUUUGGUAGCUGGGGAAGUUAGGCUUGUGGACUGACUUUACUGGUUCAAUUCUGAUAAGUAGUAUUCAUAUUCUUUAUUUCGACUAUGAGUAUUAUAGUUACGCAUCGAUAUCUCUCUUUCUAUUAUUAUUAUUAUUAUUAGAAUAUAUGCAGUUAACCAAUACACCAAUGAAUGGGUGGCCAAAGAGUAGGUACGCCUUGCUAGCUGUGGUUUCGAGCUGAUAGUUAGCAGUGUAAUUCACAGUUCCGAGUUCACGUAUUGGUAGUAGCGAUAUAAGCUCGAAGCGUAUAAGAGGAGGUAGGCUCUGUUGGUGGAGUAGGUCUUCUAAGCAGUAGGCUCAUUCUGCUAGGUAGUAGUGGAUUUCUUGUUGACAUGAAUGAAAGUACUAGAGGCAUUAGUCAAAGAACUCAAGUAAGUAGCAGCAGCCUUGUUAGUAGUUCUAUCAGGUUCGUUAUCCGUGUGUAGAUUCCCAGUUUGUAGUUGUUCCACCCAUAUUAGUAGUUAGCUAAGCCCUAUUCCUCUGUUUAGUCUUAGAGCUCCAUAUUAGUAUUUGUUGGCUCCCCGUGGUAUCCUUUCUUUUAUUGGGCAUGGUCAAAGAUUUCAUUCCUUGUUUGCUACUUUUAUUCUAAUUGACUACCCCGCCCUCCGAUAACUAUAAUAGAGCUGUUGUGGAUAAGUAGCCUCAAAAAGUCUUAGACACACCGUGUUGAGUUCUUAUUAUUACGUGCAUCCACUCCGCAAAUUCCGAUACUCGUGGUUAAUUACCCUAAACUAAACUAGCUGUGCAUACUAGUAAGUCUGAUACUUGAACGACUUUCACUCUUGAUUCUUUGGAUUCUUCUACCUAUUUGUUUGAUUAUUCCUUUCUACAUACUACCCGCCCUGCUACUUAUUACGUAUACUUAUGUUAUGAGUGAAAUUCUGUGACUAUAAUACGAGUUGCUGCCUUAGGCCACUAAGAUCAAUUCUCAUAGUCAUAGUGGAUUUCCAGUUGAUAGUUCAAAAGCACUACCCCGGUGUAACAUUCCUAUUCUUAUUGGCUUUAUUCCUAUUCUGAUUAGUAUUAUGCACUAGGUGCUCGUACCACCAAGACACUACAACAAAGGCAACUGGAAGAAUCCAAACCAAUAAUGAGGACUAUCCCCGGGUACACUGACUUAAUCUCCCUUGCCCAUCUGUCCUCUGGCUACGAAUACUUAGAAUAGGGGUGACUCGGGUAGCCCAUAGCUUUAUUGCGAAUACUUAGAAUAGAGAAUGGACUUAGCACCGGAGCAACUUGAUCCAUCGUUCCAUUGAAAAGAUCAAAAGUGUAGCGGUAGUGGUCUCGAUGACACGGCACAAACAAGAAACUAGUAAACUACUGAUCUUUGGAAUCUGAUAAUGAUCCUUGCUGCUGACUCGCUAUAUGAUUCAACACACUGCUUUGGCUUCCUUUCUUUCUUUCCCUAGCUACUUUCCUAGACUUAACGAGCACUGACACUAGAGCACUUAAACAAAACUUGGAAGAAUUGAUCUGGUCUAAGCAGACUACUUAUUAGGUCUAGGACAACUGGGAUUCUAGCCGGUAGUAGCUUGUCUCUUCCUUUUUGGUUGCAUUCUUUCAUUUUUCCGUUUUCUUCUUAUUAGUACUCGUUUCAUUCUUCCUUUUUUCAUCAAGGUUCAAUUCAGAGUUUCUUGUUCAAUUAUUACACGGAGCACCCGGCACUAGAUCGUGCACCCCCUAUUCUUAUUAGAUACUUUACUCUAACUGGAACUGGCAAUUCCACACUUCACCCAUUCUUAAAGGAAGGAAAGGAGCACUAGGUUUGCUCUGAGUGGGCCAAUUCUGACUUCCGAGUUUUCUUCUGACUUUCUUUUGAGUUUCACUAGGUUUACGAGAAAGAGCUAUAGGGUGGUUAGUGACUUCUUUUCUUCUAUUUAUCAGAAAGGGAUAUGACUGAAUGAACACUUAUAACUAAUACUAAUCAUAAGGGAGCAAUUCCAGUUUCCUUUUUUGGUAAACUGGGCUCCUCCUCUUAUAGGGAAAGCUGUUGUCAGUCAAUCAGGCAAAGGUAAAGCCAAGCACGCAAAGUCCAAGGACAAGUCCUGUUUCUUACAGUCAGCAGUGAAGAAGCUAGGGCAAAAGAUCUAGUUUUGGAGUGAAGUGAGCGGUGAGGAAUUUCUAGUGUGAGUUUAGCAAGUGAAGGUUCCUUUAUUCGUCAGAGUUUUGAGUUUAGCAAGUUAGGUUCCUUUAUUCGUCAGAGUUUUGAGUUUAGCAAGUUAUAGGUUCCUUUAUUCUAUAUUGAUGAUCGCCCAUAUUCCAUAUUCUUCUAGAUAUAUUCCAUUUGAUACUGAGAUAAGUCUUUUCAACAAGCAAGCAAAGGGUAGUGUUCCAGCCAAGGGGAAUAAACCAAGUAAAGGAAGAAACUAGUGCCCAAAGAGAGUAGUGGGUGUUAGGUUCCCGCACUCCCAGUUUAGAGUAAGCAGUCUGGUUCCGCACACGUAGCUUGUUCCCCGAGAGUUAUAUGUGAGUAAGCAGUUAGGUUACCCCUAAUUAUAUCAUGUGAACACUAUAUUCAACGAUUUCUUCUAUUUGAUCAAUUAUAUUAUUUCGAGAUAUAGAUUAUUUGAAAUGGAAUUCCAUAAGUGAGCGCACUAAUUAGCUAGUUUAGGAGUAAUGAGAACGAAGGUCUUUCGAAAGUAAAGGUACCGCUAACUCUUUCACUAUAGGAAGCAAAAGGGAUGCUAUUUGUUGAAUCAAAUCCAUACUAUGCACACGCUAAAUAACUAUGAAUGGAACAAGCAAUGCAAGGGGGAACUAAAGGGUAGAAACAAACAACAAACAAUGCAAGGUCGAACUCAAUAGGUUAAACGACUCUAACUCUUUCUGGCUUCUUCAGCCUUUCCCCGGCUUUAGUUAGCUUUGGAGUAAUAAGUGAGUUUCCAGUGUUGUUACAAUAUGAUUAAGUUAAGCAUCAUACGUGCACUCAAUUAAAAGAACUCGCUUCCGCCCACAAUGACACUCGAACAGAACUAUAACUCGUUGUAAACUCUACUACUUUGAGCUACUGCACCGACACAAGAACAGAAAGAUGAUGCAACACCUGCUUUGCUUACACCUUUUCCCUUACCGAUCCGUGAACCCCUAUUCCUCUACACCCCUAUUCCUCUCCGUGUAGUAAAUCUCUAUUCUUUUUCACUAUGCCUAUGUUCUUUAGUGCAACAACGUCUGCCCUAUCUUUGUCCUUUAAUCAGGUGUGCAGCCUAUGUUCUUUAGUGCAACGUCUGCCCCCUCUGUCCUUUAAUCAGGUGUCUUGCCUCUGCCUCAAAGUCCUGAGGAAGCAGUGUUGUUACUCAAUUCGUGAAGAAAGCAAUGCCCCGUGUUCUUUAAUCUCUUCUAUCAUAUGUUGGAUAUAGAUAUUAUUUUCCGUAUUGGCAAAAGAACAAGCAAGCAAUGUUUUCGCUUAAGUUAGUUUCGCUGUUUGGAAGGAAGGAGGUUACUCUCUUAUGGAAGUAGUGGUGACUUACAUGACUAUUGAAUUGGCAUAGAUUUCGGAGAUGAGAUCCUAUAUAGAAAUCCUUAUAAUGUAUUAUAGAGAUAGAGCAGUCAAACAAAGACACAGGAGAAUAAGAAUAACAGACUCGCGAAGGUAUGUAUGUAGACCUUUAAUCCAGACGAUAGGGGUAGCAAAUUAGAGAGAUUAGCUAGGAGCAACUUUCACCCAUGCUAAACUACUUGAAAUCCCCCUUCUUCAGCCUUAACCAAACAAGAAGCAAGGGAUACUUUAAAGGAAUCAAAGAAUAAUAUGGGAAUUGAAACCCAUCUUCUAUAAUAGAUAGAUUGGUAAGCAUAAUAUAUAGAUUAGUAAGUCAUUUCAUAUACUCUACAUAACAUAAGUAAUUAAGCAAAGCAGACUCUACAUAAGUGAUGAAACCUAAGAGGAGAAUAAAUGACUGGACUGGGGAAGAUAUAUCCUUGUGGAGAGCUACUUCCCUCAGACAUUCAGCAACAACCUAGACUUUACUAGCCUAGCUACCUUGCUUAAAGGAUCGGAACCUCCCAAACACUGCUUACAACUUAUUGAUGAAACAUGGUGACCUUGACGGGGCUCUGUAUACACAUAUGUUAAAAGAAGAGAGGAACCAUAAGUUUACUGUACAAAACCAUGAAGAAUGCUUUGGUGCAAAUAAGAGGUCAGCUGCCUAAUCACUCGCUAACGCGCCUGUAUCCUCAUACUCACUGACACUAAACUUCAAUGCUUGUACCCCGCCCCGGACUAACGCCCAAUCAAAUUAGGACUUGCUUUGCCAAAGACAUAAAGUGAGCGAUUUCUCCAAAGGGUAAUGUUGCUCCAAUACCUAACCAAAGGGCUACAGCGGUUCUUAACUUCAAGAAUAGGUUGGCAAAAGAGAAGCUCAUAUAGGAAAAGGAGAAGCUCAUAGAGUUUUGUAUAGAACUAAGUGAAGUAACCAACUAUAGCAUUCAAGUCAGGAACAGGAUAAGAAGUCGUGUAGUAUCUCGGUGUUGGCGAUGAGAGAAUGAGAGGUGUGGUUGGCAAUUCAUGAAGUUACGCUAAGUAAGAAACAAGUAACGCAAGGGAGGAUCCCAGUGGUAGAGAACAGAACCAUCGCUCCGGUAAGAUGUUAUUUAUACAAAAAUAUGCAUUUCAAACAAGGGCCCACGUAGAAGUGUUUAUAAGGGUUAGUUAACAGGCGUGAAACGCGGCUCAGGUCUCAGUGUUUGGAGUGAGAGUUCAAGCAAGAUUAAGGUCACAGAAUCAAUGACUUUCGAGUUGCUAAAACAGGACUUGCAUCUUGCCACCGUUGUUGGAACUCUAUCACUGGUUCUUGCGCUGGUGCUUGUUAGACUUGCAUCUUGUUCUGUUGUUUCAUGUUAUGUUCCAAAGCAGCUUACUAAUGCCGUAGCUACACUUGCUUACAGAGUUUACCACGAUAGAUUAAUUUCUUCAACAAUUACUGGAUGAUAUGCUUGUUAUCAGAGAUCCAAUCUUACUUAUCAAAUCUCUACGAAGACGGACGAAAUCAGAGAAAAGGAGAAAGAGAGGCAGUUGUUACAUUCGUUGGCCCGGAACUAGGUAAAGCUCUAUAAUUGUAAGCGCAGGAAGCACAAAGAAGGCUCGUGUAAGCUUGGGUUAGCUAGAAGUUAUGUAACGAGGCCCUGAUCGCUUACCGUGUGAGCGCCCGGGAGAAAUGGGUCGGGUGAACCCUAGCCUAACCAAAUGGCUAUUUGAGGGGUGUGCAAGGAAGUAUUUAAGUAAGUUCCUCGAGCUACUAACAAGUCCGUCCUAUAAAGAAGGGGUCAGAACAAGAAGGGUCGGUAGUUAGCAGCGCAGCAACCAAUCCACCUAAGGGAAUCAAUCAAUCCCAGAGCCUCGGUGAUUCGCGACGAAGAUAAUAUUGGAUCAUGCGCACCAACCCAAGGGAUUCUAGCAGCUAAGUGGAUCGAGCCAUUACUUUGAUGCUCUACCCACUAGCCCUAAACAACGGCCAAGUUUCACUGGGACUCAAGAGGGUGCAUGAAGCAGCUCCGGAUGACUUAGCUCGAGAAAUCCAAUUUGAAAGAAAGGGGAGCUGGACUCCCCGAACAUUAUAAGAAAGAUUUCACCGGCCUUCUUCUUUUUUACCAAAUCCAAUCCAGUCCUAUCGCAGUUCGUUGGGAAAGAAACGAUUUAUUAGCUAUCCUCCUGACCUGAGGCGAAUCGACCCGGAUGGGAUGGAAACUCGCCUAUAAGCGGGAGUGCUCACUAUCAAGUCUUGAUUGAUCGAGACAAAGCCAAAGAUAUGGUGGUACUCAACUCUAGGGAGCUACUGGCUAUGUGGGAGAAAUAUGACAUCCUGCUUGGGGAGCCAGGUGCCAAAGGCUUUGUUCGGUAUGGAAGAGGCAACUGCUUUGUACGUUUAUUGUGAACUCGCCGGCAAAGCAAGGUACUCGUAAGGUCGCUGCGUCUACUCGAUCGAACAGGCUGAGGAAAAUCCAAAUAACUCACCAAGGUGAUAGGAAUGAAUGCUCUUUCAAGGUGAUAGGAAUGAAUGCUCUUUAGAAACGGAUGGUGUUUGAUCCUUUCUUUUAUGAUCUAUGGGGGCUCUAUAUUCUGUAAAGUGCUCCAAUCCAAUACAAGGCGCAUGCAUUGCUGCAGCAACAAGGAAAAAAACGAACCGUGCUAUAAUCUUAGCAACUGGGCUAUACCUACUAAUUAUGACCUAUUCCAUGCAUUCGUCGCAUAAAAAAGUGCUUCAAGUGGAUCGAGUCAGUCGAAGUCAUCAUAAGCAGUACAACCAUCUUGGUAAAGUGGAUUUCUAGAGUUAUUUAUAUAUAGUUGUAUUUCUCAAGUGGGUGAGGCGAA
rnacentral:lncRNA from 1 species